CAAUAGUAGCACUUCAAAUGAAUACUUCACCCGAAAACUAUGCAUUUUGUAUCUUCUUCUCACCCUGACUUAUCUUGAAUG